rnacentral:lncRNA from 1 species
CUCCAUGCAGAAAAAGAUUCCUUUCUCCAGAUAGUUACGCAUUUUUAUUUCAAAGGUAGUAAUGAUCAACUCAUUAACUGUGAUUGCCUUAAAGCAUUUUGAUAAGAUUCAUCUACAGAUUACUAUUAUUUAAUGGAUGUUUAUUUUAAAUAGCUAGUCACUUAUGUAUUCAGACUGAAAUAAUCCCUCUGCUCAAUCUUCCUUAAAUGGAUAUUGUAUUAUUUUCAAUUGCAUUCAAGCAAUAAAGUAACAGAAAGGCAAUUCUGUGGAUUCACAAAGCAAAGUUGAACGUUAAAAGCAAAGUCUUUUAUGUAAUCAUAUAAGAUACAGUGACUCUAAAGUGCAGAGUCUCAACCAAAUUGCGUUUGCAAAGCUGUACAGUAAGUGCUUUCUUGUGCUUUGAAAAAUUAAAAUAAGUAAAAAUACAGGAUCUCAUCUACCUGGCUGUGCUUACUUUCCAGGCUUGUUAUAAUGGAAUUUCCUCAUCAAGCAGAAUCAUUCCAUCCCUAGAAUACUAUCGUGGCAGCAUUCCAGUUCCUGGACUAAUUGUGCCCUUGGGUUAAAGGCUUUUAGGAGAUAAGCUGAGUCUUCAUCCAACAAGAAUUCAGAGUGUCUACUAUAAUUCCAGCCAGGAGAAAGCUUUCCAGAGAUAAGGAAAAACCAUUUUCAGAAAAUUUGAAGAAGACUGCCAAAAAAGAUAACAUCAAACAUAAAGAGAAUUCAGCAGACAUCUGAUGAUUUGAAUUGCUGACAGUGGAAAUGGAGAAAACACAUACAUAGAGGACUUGCGUGUCUGA